ensembl:lncRNA
GGAGGGAGGAUGGAGGGAGGAUGGAGGGAGGAUGGAGGAGGGAUGGAGGGAGGAUGGAGGUAGGAGGGAUGGAGGGAGGAUGGAGGAAGGAGGGAUGGAGGGAGGAUGGAGGAAGGGAGGGAGGCAGAGAGGAAGAAUAACACAGAGAGAACAGAAAUAGACUGAUACAAUGAAAGGGUGAGGGAGAGGAAGAGGGAGAGAUAAAUAAAGGAGAGAUGCAGAGUGAGGAAUGGACACAAUGAAAAAGAGAGAGAGGGGGGAGAGAGAGAGAGAGAGAGAGAGAGAGAGAGAGAGAGAGAGAGAGAGAGAGAGAGAGAGGGAAAUAGAGAUAAAAUGAGAGAACCUCAAGG